rnacentral:antisense_RNA from 1 species
CUUGAGGGAGCCCAGCCACAACGGCUUGUCCUCGUCGCGGCCCUGGCCGUACGUGGCGAGGACCGCCUGAGCCUC